rnacentral:tRNA from 1 species
CAAAAUGUAGCUUAACAAAAGCCCCUCGCUUACACCGAGAAAAUGUCUGUGCACUCGGAUCAUUUUGA